GUGGGGAAUCUUGCGCAAUGGGCGAAAGCCUGACGCAGCCAUGCCGCGUGAAUGAUGAAGGUCUUAGGAUUGUAAAAUUCUUUCACCGGGGACGAUAAUGACGGUACCCGGAGAAGAAGCUCCGGCUAACUUCGUGCCAGCAGCCGCGGUAAUACGAAGGGGGCUAGCGUUGCUCGGAAUUACUGGGCGUAAAGGGCGCGUAGGCGGACAGCUUAGUCAGAGGUGAAAGCCCAGGGCUCAACCUUGGAAUUGCCUUUGAUACUGGCUGUCUUGAGUUUGGGAGAGGUGAGUGGAACUCCGAGUGUAGAGGUGAAAUUCGUAGAUAUUCGGAAGAACACCAGUGGCGAAGGCGACAUACUGGUCCAUUACUGACGCUGAGGCUCGAAAGCGUGGGGAGCAAACAGGAUUAGAUACCCCGGUAGUCC
rnacentral:rRNA from 1 species